CCUACGGGAGGCUGCAGUGGGGAAUAUUGGACAAUGGGCGAAAGCCUGAUCCAGCCAUGCCGCGUGUGUGAAGAAGGCCUUCGGGUUGUAAAGCACUUUCAGUGGGGAAGAAAGCCUUGGGGCUAAUACCCUCGAGGAAGGACAUCACCCACAGAAGAAGCACCGGCUAACUCCGUGCCAGCAGCCGCGGUAAUACGGAGGGUGCGAGCGUUAAUCGGAAUUACUGGGCGUAAAGCGCGCGUAGGCGGUCUGAUAAGCCGGUUGUGAAAGCCCCGGGCUCAACCUGGGAACGGCAUCCGGAACUGUCAGGCUAGAGUGCAGGAGAGGAAGGUAGAAUUCCCGGUGUAGCGGUGAAAUGCGUAGAGAUCGGGAGGAAUACCAGUGGAGAAGGCGGCCUUCUGGACUGACACUGACGCUGAGGUGCGAAAGCGUGGGUAGCAAACAGGAUUAGAUACCCAGUAGUC
rnacentral:rRNA from 1 species